rnacentral:rRNA from 1 species
AGCCCACUAGCUAGCUCACACCCUAAAAUCCAACAACCCCCUAUUAAUAACCCCGAACAACCUUACCACACCUAAGACCAAACCAUUUUUCCCCCUAAGUAUGGGCGACAGAAAAGGACAAAUCGAAGCAACAGCAAUAGUACCGCAAGGGAACGCUGAAAGAGAAAUGAAACAAAUCAGUAAAGCACGAGAAAGCAGAGCUUAGCCCUUGUACCUUUUGCAUCAUGAUUUAGCAAGAAACCAUCAAGCAAAGAGAGCCUUUAGUUUGAUUCCCCGAAACCAAGUGAGCUACUCCAAGACAGCCUCUAAGGGCGCACCCGUCUCUGUGGCAAAAGAGUGGGAAGAUCUUUGAGUAGAGGUGACAGACCUACCGAACUUGGUUAUAGCUGGUUGUCCAUGAAAUGAAUAGGAGUUCAGCCUUUUAUCGUCUUUCCCCACUACCCAGUUAUACCCUAAGGGUUAAAGAUAGAUUAAAGAGUUAGUCAAAGGGGGUACAGCCCCUUUGAAAAAGAUACAACUUUCCCAGAAGGGUUAAGAUCAUAACACCAUCAAGGGACCGUGUCCUAGUUGGCCUAAGAGCAGCCAUCCACAUAGAAAGCGUUAAAGCUCAAACACACCCCACUCCUCCCUAUUAUCCAGACCACAAAAUCUUACCCCCCUAAAUAUAAUGGACCCUCCCAUACGCUUAUGGAAGAGAUUAUGCUAAUAUGAGUAAUAAGAGGCUCUGAACCUCUCCUUGCACAAGUGUACAUCGGAACGAACCAACACCGAAAAUUAACGGCCCCAAGAAGAGGGUACUGAAAAAUCAUGGCAAGCCACUAGAAAAACAUCCAGAAUGCCCAACCGUUAACCUUACACCAGAGUGCUAACAAGGAAAGACUAAAAGAGAAAGAAGGAACUCGGCA